rnacentral:tRNA from 3 species
UGGCGUAUAGCUCAAUGGUAGAGCGUCCGGCUGUUAACCGGAGGGUUGCCGGUUCAAGUCCGGCUAUGUCAG